rnacentral:rRNA from 1 species
CCUGCCUCUGAGUGGGGGAUAACGUCUCGAAAGGGACGCUAAUACCGCAUGACAUCCCGCCUUUGAACAGGUGGAGAUCAAAGCUGGGGAUCGCAAGACCUAGCGCUUGAAGAGGGGCCCGCGUCUGAUUAGCUAGUUGGUGAGGUAACGGCUCACCAAGGCUACGAUCAGUAUCCGGCCUGAGAGGGCGGACGGACACACUGGGACUGAGACACGGCCCAG